UUUCGAUGAACCAGUUGAGCCAGUGAUUCAAUAAGUCGAUUGUAACAAAAGAUGCGUAUUUGUCACCACCUACAGGUUUACAUGUGUCAUUCAUUACUGUAUGUACUUUUUAUUUUCAGAAGCAGAAGUGGAGAUAGUUUGUGCAACAGCAACAAGGUGCGGGUCCAAACCCAUCUGUCAAGACGCUUCUUUGUCCACAUGCGGGCUGCCCCACCAGCCCAACGAUUGCGCUGGAGAGCCUCUGACCACAAGUCAUAGGAGCUAAGAGCAAAACUGACAGUGGUGGAGAGAGAAGAAGUGCCCUUGACGAGGAAACCAUGGCAGCCAUAUAGGUAAG